rnacentral:lncRNA from 10 species
AUGCAGCAGGAAGGCCAAACAUGGGGAUUUGGGAGCCAGACUACAAGAAUUUGAUGCCUGACCCUGUCAUUUCCUAGCUUAUGGAAAAGCGGGCUCAGUGAAGAGGGAAGAGCGAGCAUCCACUGCCAGCUUUCCAGUUGGACACGAGCCAUGCAAAGGCAUCCAGGAAGAAUCUAGUUGGAAGAUGACUCUAUCAGGCUGGAUCGGAACUUGAUGGCUGGCAGCUCACACGGAGACUGCACAUGACCCGCUCGGAAGAGUCAGCCAUCCGUUUGUGCUUCAGUGUCUGUUCCUCUAGUCAGAAGGAAGCUCUAGGACACAGCUUGGGCCAAAAGAUAAGCCCCAACAAUCGCACCCACGUGUGUAUAGUACCUCAUAGUUUGCAAAUUACCUGAUCUCAUUUGACCCACAUAAGAAGCCUGUGGAUAUCGUCGUUUGAAAGAUGGGAAACAUGCUAUUUUACAGAUGGGGAUGCAAACCCAGACUUCAAAUUCACACCUAGCGCGCAGGCAAGCCAGAACUCAUAUCCAAUUUUUUAAAAAGGAGUGUCCUGAACUACUCCGUCUUCAUACACCUCCUACAUCAUUGCUUUGUGUGGUGUUAUCCCCAAAUCUCCACCUGCAUCCAGCUCUUCAAGCUGCAGUUCAGGCUUGGUUGAGGUGUCCGGCGGCGGCAAUUUUACCCAACUGAAAGCAGAGAGAGGCAUGUGGCUGGUCCGCAGGCAAGGCAGAGAGGGGUCUUUUGGUAUCGUAAUCAUCAGGCCCCCACUAAUAAGAAAAGCAGUCUCUGCAAACUAGGAACUUCAAAGAGCAACCAGCAACACCCUCUCAGCGUGCUGCGGCUCCUCCUGGGCCUGCUCGCAGAGCCAUCCCCUGGCCAGCCCGCUGCUGACACCUUGUGGCCGACAAACAGAGUUCUUGCCCAUUUCCUCUCAGAAUUACGUCAAGCAAGGUGGCUGAGUGCUAGGAACCAGGCCCACCUCCUAUUGUUCUUCCCGGGUUCCCCGACAGCCC